GGUGGCUCAGUGGUAGAGCGCUUGCCUUGCAUGCGUGAGUCCCUGAGUUCGAUUCCUCAGCACCA
rfam:Dipodomys ordii contig_42126, whole genome shotgun sequence.